UACAGAGGUGGCAAGCGUUGUUCGGAAUUACUGGGCGUAAAGGGCGCGUAGGCGGCUCGACAAGUCCCGCGUGAAAGCCCCCGGCUCAACUGGGGAACUGCGCGGGAAACUGUCGGACUUGAGUUCGGGGAGAGGGAAGCGGAAUUCCCGGUGUAGCAGUGAAAUGCGUAGAGAUCGGGAGGAACAUCUGUGGCGAAGGCGGCCAUCUGGACCAGCACUGACACUGAGGCACGAAAGCGUGGGGAGCAAACAGG
rnacentral:rRNA from 1 species